AUCUCUUCAGAGACAUCUGAUAAAACAUGAACAAUAUAGAAGAGAUUUGCAUAGACUCUGCGCAAGAAAGACAUGGUAGAAAAGAUAAAAUUAAUGCCAACUAUU